rnacentral:sRNA from 1 species
AUCAGAUCGCCGUUGUGAGCCGGCGAUCUGUGCGGUGUCGACCGCCCCGUCGACACCGACCCGGCCCCGAGGUCCCCCGACCUCG